rnacentral:rRNA from 1 species
UACGAGAGGCCCAAACGUUAUUCGGAUUUACUGGGCUUAAAGAGUUCGUAGGCGGCGCGGAAAGUAGGGUGUGAAAGCCCUCGGCUCAACCGAGGAAUUGCGCUCUAAACUGCCGCGCUCGAGGAACCUAGAGGUGAGCAGAACUGAUGGUGGAGCGGUGAAAUGCGUUGAUACCAUCAGGAAUACCGGAGGCGAAGGCGGCUCACUGGGGGUUAUCUGACGCUGAGGAACGAAAGCCAGGGGAGCAAACGGG